rnacentral:lncRNA from 1 species
CGUCGACACAAGGAUUAUGUGAUAGUAUCUGAUACCCUUGAGGGUUUGAGUACAGCCGCGGAGUCACGUUCUGGUGCUGCGAAGAAGCAGGCAGAAGAGGCGGCUGCGGGAGGGACAGCUGCGGGUCCCCCUGUGAUUGGUGAGAAGAGGAGGCCAGAGCAGAAAGCUGCUGGUGGUGUUGAAACCAAACGUCGGAGGCUAGUAACCAAAAGGUCUGCUCCGGCGCAGAAAAAACCUGCGGUUGUCGUUGGUAAGUGUAGGCUAUCUAGUGUUAACUGUUGUGUAACUAGUUCUGAUAGCUAUUUCACUUUUUUGCAGAGCGUCAAGAUGAAGAUUUUUCUAUCUUCG